rnacentral:rRNA from 1 species
GAUGAACGCUGGCGGCGUGCCUAAUACAUGCAAGUCGAGCGAACGGACGAGAAGCUUGCUUCUCUGAUGUUAGCGGCGGACGGGUUAGUAACACGUGGAUAACCUACCUAUAAGACUGGGAUAACUUCGGGAAACCGUAGCUAAUACCGGAUAAUAUUUUGAACCGCAUGGUUCAAAAGUGAAAGACGGUCUUGCUGUCACUUAUAGAUGGAUCCGCGCUGCAUUAGCUAGUUGGUAAGGUAACGGCUUACCAAGGCAACGAUGCAUAGCCGACCUGAGAGGGUGAUCGGCCACACUGGAACUGAGACACGGUCCAGACUCCUACGGGAGGCAGCAGUAGGGAAUCUUCCGCAAUGGGCGAAAGCCUGACGGAGCAACGCCGCGUGAGUGAUGAAGGUCUUCGGAUCGUAAAACUCUGUUAUUAGGGAAGAACAUAUGUGUAAGUAACUGUGCACAUCUUGACGGUACCUAAUCAGAAAGCCACGGCUAACUACGUG